rnacentral:lncRNA from 1 species
UUUUUUUUUUCAUUCAAAAGUGGAUUCUGUAACGGUUUAUUUUGCUUGGCAUCUUUAAUUUACUCCACCAUCACCGGCAACGAUUCCUUGCUGUUAAUGAAAUAACUGUUGGAUUGGAUGUUUGUGAUUGUUUCGUCUGAAAAGUUGAUGUUUUGACGUACUUGUUUUGAUACUUACCUCUAACUGAUGUUUGUAAGCCAUUGGUUCUGUUUGUUGACAUGUGAUAGUCUCGAGCCCAACCUCGUGAAAUAAUGACCGAAGUCCUUAAAGCUCUGCAAGAAUUGAGUGUCUGUUGGAAAAAAAUUGGACCCUAUAACAUGAAGUGCAGAUGGGCUGUUAUCAUCCCUGGUCAUCAUGGAGGAAUGGAUAACAAUUCUGUGCAUAGUAAUAAUUUCCUUGGAAAUGACAGCAUUAUUGAGAAUGACGUUGUUCCUAAGUCAACUGUAGUCAAGUUUGAGUUGCAGGUAGUUAUUCCGAUAAACCCUAAUCUAUGUUGCAUUUAGAUUUAAACGAAUUGUAUAUUUACCGGUAUAGUAUUAACUUUUUCAUUGUCAUUCAUUGAUGCUUAUGAGCAGCCAGAACCCUUUGCUAAACAUUAGUAUUUUGAAACCAUAGUUGAAGCGUCUUCAAAAUAAAUUCUUCCUCCAAACUCCUAUUUUUUAGUACUAGACAAUUUGAUUGACAUGUUUAAGUCAUUCUUGCUAUACUUUGGUUCUUUGGACAUGCAAUCAAAUAAUUUCUUAUAGGAACAGGGUUUGGGAAUCUAUUAGAAAAUAUGCCAACUCACAUUUAACCAGGAACAAACUAGUUGUCUAUGUAGAACCAGAACUUUAGAUUGAAGGCAUGUCCGGUGUCCAACUUGUGUUGAUGUCGGAUUCUAUCACUUUUUUAAAUUCUUAUGGGUAGUUAUGUGUUGGUGUUAGUGUCGUAUUCGGUGUACGUGUCAGUGCUUCAUAGUUAUUGCUUCUCCGUUUACAAGCUUGUGAAUUAAUGCUAGCAGAAAAACAAAUACACACUUCAUAGUUUACUAGUAUUAUAGUUUAUGUCGGAAGUUUGAUACCCUCUUGGAGACAACUAUUUCUUCUGUAUUUUUUUCUCAAGAACAUUCUCAAACCUAUGUUAAUAUCUUUCACAGCUGUACAAAACUCAGGAGAAAUAUCUGCUUGAUCUUCAAAGGCUUGAGGGUCCCCAGUUUCUUUUCUUGGAUCUUUGUGCCGCCUUCCUUGCACAGCUUCGCGUUCUCUAAUGCAAAGAUAGUACACUCACAUGGGGGGACUUCAGAAUAAGCUUAUGGUGUACAUAUAAAUCCCCUAUCAGAAUGGGUGGACCUUAUGCUUGUAUUUUUUAGUGUAUACAUACCCCCAGUUUUUAAUUAUUUAGGUGAUCAUAUAUUUACGAGGCGAGCGUAAAUAUGGUAUUCUCUUCCCUUUUCGCAGUGAAUUGAGUUUUUUUCAAUCCUGUGAAACUCUGGGAAUUUUAUGGAAGAAACAUCCCCCAACAGAUACAGUUAUUUAUGGUAUUGAAUCUAAUGUUUCAACUGAUUAUUUUAAGGCUUAAAUGUGUGUUUAGUCCUUGCACUUUCGCCCCGUUUUGGCAUUGGUCCCUACGCUUUUUUUUGUUUGGCAUUGGUCCCUGCACUUUCUAAAACUUUUGGCUUUAGUCCUUCCGUUAACUUUCCGUUAAAAAAAAAAACCAAAACUAACGGUGUGCCACGUGGCCCAAUCAUGACACGCCACGUGGCACACUAAAAAACAAAAAAAAAAUCAAUUUUUAAUUAUUAUUUUAUUCAUUAUUUUUUUUACUUAAAAAUAUCAUUAGUCCCUGCACUUUCAGCAUUUUUUGAUAUUAGUCCCUGCACUUUGGUAUUAGUCCUUGAAUUUUUUUUAUUUUUUUUAAAAAAAAUACUAAUGAAAUUUAUUAUGUUUUAAUUAUUGUUUUGUUCAUUAUUUUUAUUGAGAAUAAUCAUAAAAAAAUAAAAUUAAAAAAUCUUUGUUAAAAAAAAAUUAAGUAAUAAUUGUAUAACAUUGCAAAUGGAAAUUGUGUCGUAUUAACACCGUAACAAUAGAUAAAAAUCAACAAAUAAGAUGGAAAUUAAAUUGCACUUUGGCAAUAUAGGAAUUUAAUUUUUUGUUACAAUCAAUUUAUGGGGGAGACUAUAUUGCCAAGGUGCAACUUAAUUUCCAUCUUCUUUAUUGAUUUUUAUCUAUUGUUACGGUUUUAAUACGAUACAAUUUCCAUUUGCAAUGUUAUACAAUUAUUACUUAAUUUUUUUUAACAAAGAUUUUUUGAUUUCAUUUUUUUAUGAUUAUUCUGAAUAAAAUAAUGAACAAAACAAUAAUUAAAACAUAAUAAUUUCAUUGAAAGUAUUUAAAAAAAAAAAAAGUUUAAGAACUAAUACCAAAGUGCAGGGACUAAUAUCAAAAAAUGCAGAAAGUGCAGGGACUAAUGAUAUUUUUAAGUAAAAAAUAAUGAAUAAAAUAAUAAUUAAAAAUUGAUUUUUUUUUUGUUUUUUAGUGUGCCACGUGGCGUGUCAUGAUUGGGCCACGUGGCACACCGUUAGUUUUGGUUUUUUUUUUUUAACGGAAAGUUAACGGAAGGACUAAAGCCAAAAGUUUUAGAAAGUGCAGGGACCAAUGCCAAACAAAAAAAAGCGUAGGGACCAAUGCCAAAACUGGGCGAAAGUGCAGGGACUAAACACACAUUUAAGCCUUAUUUUAAUUAUCAGGGAUAAAAUCUUUUGCAUACACAUCUAGUCAUAUUUUAUUAUGUUUAUUUUGUUGAUAAAAUUUAGAAAUAUGGCCAUGACAUUAUUGCGAAGUCUGAUUUUAUGUGUGUAUACAUUUUUAUUUACUUAUUGAUGUAAAUGUAGAGUUGUUAAACUCUUGAGGAAUAGAUUUUAUUUUAGAAUGGAUGAGACAUUUGAUAUCAUGGUAUAUGAAAAUUCACGGAAAUUUGAUUAAUUUUUCUUAUAAAAAACUACUUUGUUUUAAAACAUGACAAAAGAACGAUUAAUUUUAAAACCUAACAAAAACUUUUGCUUAGAUUUAAUGAUAGAUGCGAAUAACAAAUAUAUAAAGUAGAAAACUCCUCAAAGUGCAAGUAGUCAUCCGUAAACUCCUCCGGCUUCGCACGCGUAGGACCCCUUGCUAUCGAGCUCCUUGUCAGGUGCAGCUUCUGAUGUGCAAUGGCAAUGACUGUGGCAAAGAAGAUUUCAAUGCAAUAUUGAUGCUUCUUUUUUUGCAAUCUUGAAAUUGUACAAGUGUGUGUGCGUGAUGUUGAUGGAGCAUUUGUUUCAGCCAAAACUGAGAUUUUCCCCUUGAUGUUUUGUUCCUGUGGUCUCUUAGGAAUGAUUUAAAUUGAUUAGGAUGAAUUUGAUUUCUAAUAAAAUUAUUUCCAUGUUCUGUCAAAAAUAAUUAUUUUAUUGUUAAGGUAAUUAUUUUAAAGAUAAUAUAAAGAGAAGAUAAAAGUAUUCUUAGUCAAAAAAAUAAUAUUAAUAUCACACAAAAAAUUAUAAGGGACUAAAUUGAAUCUUCACUAGAGUAUAAAUUCACACACUUUUGUAGGGUUUCUCUCUCGGCAUCUUCGAUUUUCUCUCUAAUCGCCGGUGAGGCUUCGAGCUUCUUGUUCUUUUUAUUUAUAAUUUUGGAUUUUUACUUUGUAUGCAUUCAUUUUUCCGCGUUUUGUGAUUUUGUUCUUCAAUUUGAUUUUUUUUAUUUAUUUUUUUAGCUAAUAUCAUUUUGAUUUUUUUUUAUUAUUUUUCAGCCUCCGUUUUGAUUUGAUGAUUUGUUUAUUCUGUCUAAGGUAUAUGGAUAAUCAAGGAGUAGGAAUGAGGCAACAAUUCCCUGUUGAGGGAAAAUGGUCCCUUGGUCUUCAGGUACAAUAUUUUACUUGUUAGAUUUUUUCCAUAAUGAUUUAUUUUUCUUGGCUAUUAAUUAAUGAAAUACUGAUUUGAAAUUUGUGAUUGAUUCAACUGAUUUCAUGUCUCUUUUGACAAUGAAUUAUCCAAUUUAUUGAUUAAAUGUGUUAUUAUGUGCUUUCUUUUUCACAUUGGGUGUAAACACAUGACAUUGUUGGUAUUAAUUUUUUUUUUUUUUACAAAUGUUGGUAUUAAUCUAUUGUCAUCUGAAAAAUUAAUAUUUUGAUUAUUACUUUUAGAAAAAUGCUAACAAAUAUUCCUGAAAUACUUGUUAAGAAAACAAAUGGUUAAAUUACAUCAGAUGUCCUUUAAGUUAUCUAGUUAUAACAGUUUAAGUUUUUUUUAUAUCACUUACGUCAUUUAAGUUAUUUAAUUGUAACAAGUUAGUCUUUUAAAUAUUUUUCGUAAUACAUAAGUCUUUUGAGUUAUUUAAUUGUAACGUUUAGUCUCCGAAUAACUUACAUUUUUAAGAUCUGAAAUCCCCCAAAUUAUUACGAUUAAAUAACUUAAAGUACAUAAUUGGUACGGAAAAAAUUGAGGACUAACUUGUUACAAUUAGUUAAAUGAAAGGAUUUAAUUAGUACGGAAUUACAUUUAAAUAACUUAAAGUAUCUCUGGUUUAAUUUAGCCAAAACAAAUAUAGCAUGUCUUGAAUUUAUGUCUUCAAAAUCUUAAAGAUAAAUUCUUUCAAUUUUUGUUUUCUUGAGGCACCGAUUAGUAUGACUCUUGUUUCGUUCUUUUAAGCUGUUGGUUUUGUUUGUUGACAUGUGAUAGUCUCGAGCCCAACCUCGUGAAAUAAUG